AUUGAACGCUGGCGGAAUGCUUUACACAUGCAAGUCGAGCGGCAGCGCGGGGGCAACCCUGGCGGCGAGCGGCGAACGGGUGAGUAAUACAUCGGAACGUGUCCUUAAGUGGGGGAUAGCUCGGCGAAAGCCGGAUUAAUACCGCAUAAGCUCUGAGGAGGAAAGCGGGGGAUUCGCAAGGACCUCGCGCUGUUGGAGCGGCCGAUGUCGGAUUAGCUAGUUGGUGGGGUAAAGGCCCACCAAGGCGACGAUCCGUAGCUGGUCUGAGAGGAUGAUCAGCCACACUGGAACUGAGACACGGUCCAGACUCCUACGGGAGGCAGCAGUGGGGAAUUUUGGACAAUGGGGGCAACCCUGAUCCAGCCAUUCCGCGUGAGUGAAGAAGGCCUCGGUU
rnacentral:rRNA from 1 species